UAAAUUUCAAAAGGAUAGAAUUUUUCAGUUUUAUCUCCCCUUCUCUCUCUUCUAUGUUUACUAUUCAGCAUCUUCAUCUUCCCCUCACUGUUCAUCGUCCCCAGACCCGCCCUCUCCUUCAACCCGGCGAGAUCUGUCCUGAUCUCGCCCUCUCCUUCAACCACCCUUACCCUCCACCAAGGCCGCCCUCGUCCCCGACAAGGACUCCUUUCGCCUCGACUUCCUCGCCACCUCCCGACUGGAGCUCCGUAGCCUCCUCAAUGACAACAAGAACUUCGAGAUCUGCGGGUCCCUCACCUCUUUCGACUGGAAUGAGCCUCUUCUCCUCCGCGCAUUAGGACCUCCAGCAUCGACACCGCCUUUGUCAACCGCUUCCUCGCCUUCCCACUACUGAUUCAGCCUUCGAAGGUUCUUGCCCAUUAAAUCCCGGAGCUUGGAAAGGUUUUGCACCGAUUUCCAAUAUAUGCUCAAACGAGAUGUCUAUUUUGUAGUUCACGUGAGUCCGAGUGUCCGGUUCUUAGGAUUUAUGACCCUCUUCAAGAAGAUCCUUUCAAAUCCAAUUCUAAAGAAGAUUUCAAUAGAAAAAUGCGAUAACUUGGUGGAUAUUAAAAUUGAUCAUCCAAAGUUGUCGUCUUUCUACUAUAAGAUCUCAACUGGGGAAUGUUGGUAGCGAUCUCGAUGGGGGGCUAAUCACCAGCAUCAAGCCCUCACAAUUGGGAAUCUCUCGGCUCUAGAGAGAAUCCGAUAAUUCUUGCCUUUGUGGGCUAGAAUCGAAUCAUGAGCCGAAGUCGACUGAGUUGGAGAGGUGAGGGGCGACCGCCGUUGCCCGGAAGGCGAGGGGAGGACAGGCGGUGGCGGCGGCAGCGGCUGAUAUGGAUGACGAUGACAAGAUCUCGCUUCUGCCCGAGCAUGUAAAGCAUCGCAUUCUCUCCUUCAUACCGAGCAUCAAGGAGGUGGUGAGGACGAGUUCGCUGUCGAAAUCGUGGCUACGGACGUGGAGAUCGUUCCAGAUCACAGACUUCGAUCAAUCGCUUAUCCUACCGAACUCGGCUAUUCACCAAUUCGUGGGAGCCAGACGGUGGAAAGAGUAGAGCGAGAGCUUCGUGAGGUUCGUGGACGAUAGUUCUAGAUUAGGUUGAAGAGCUAUUCAAAUUCAUAUGCAUUUCAACUAAUUGAAUGCAUGAUCUAGUUUAAAUGAAAUAUCCUAACCAGCUAAAGAUUGUAAAUUAAGAUGGCGAUUAUAUAUACAAGUUUUAAUAAAGAAAUGAAAAGAAUAUUCCAUUUCGUUAAAUA